GAACUGGGAACUCUGCACCGACGAUUGUCGGAUAAGUCAGGGAUGGCACGCUAAUAAGAUGGCGUGCGCCC
rnacentral:ncRNA from 1 species